rnacentral:lncRNA from 1 species
CAGGGCUUGAAGGCUGUGGGUGUGGGGCCCCAUAAUCAUUUGGUCCAGGACAGGCAGUAGGCGUCAGGGGGCGCCCUAAGGCUCCACGGCAUGUGCCUGUAUUGCUGGGACAUCGAGCCUUCCCAAGUCAACCCUGAGGUGGAGUGGAAAUUACAGAAGUAGGGAGCAGGAUAAAGUUCUCAAUUGCCAGAUGUGGAACAGAUUGCUCUUGGGUCUUCUGGUUAAAAGAUUGGAUCAAAACGAGUGAAGGAGGAGUUAUUUAAGGAAGGACCAAGACAACAUCAUCCUUCAGAGGUCACUGAGCGGCAGCUUGCAAAUAAACGUAUUCAGAAUAUGCAACACCUAAAGAAAGAGAAGAGGAGACUGAAUAAAAGGUUUUCAAGGCCUUCUCCUAUUCCAGAACCAGGACUCCUAUGGUCAUCUUGAUAAAGCAGGAGUCUAUUUGAAGGAAACCAUGCUCCAGACAGAAAUAUGUGGAUUGUGAACAUCAAGUGACAUAUCAUGAAUUGAUCAUCCACAAAAUAAAUGCAAUACUCCACCAUUUCGGAAAAAUAAACACAGUGCAAGUAUUUAAUAUCCAAGCUACAGGCUCUAGAAUUUUAUUAAAUGCCAUCUCUCAC